rnacentral:rRNA from 1 species
AGCGAACGCUGGCGGCAGGCCUAACACAUGCAAGUCGAACGAACCUUUCGGGGUUAGUGGCGGACGGGUGAGUAACACGUGGGAACGUGCCUUUAGGUUCGGAAUAACUCAGGGAAACUUGUGCUAAUACCGAAUGUGCCCUUCGGGGGAAAGAUUUAUCGCCUUUAGAGCGGCCCGCGUCUGAUUAGCUAGUUGGUCGAGGUAAUGGCUCACCAAGGCGACGAUCAGUAGCUGGUCUGAGAGGAUGAUCAGCCACAUUGGGACUGAGACACGGCCCAAACUCCUACGGGAGGCAGCAGUGGGGAAUCUUGCGCAAUGGGCGAAAGCCUGACGCAGCCAUGCCGCGUGAAUGAUGAAGGUCUUAGGAUUGUAAAAUUCUUUCACCGGGGACGAUAAUGACGGUACCCGGAGAAGAAGCCCCGGCUAACUUCGUG